rnacentral:rRNA from 1 species
GUAGGAUAAGCUAAGCACACUGUUGGUUAUGUGUGCCCAAGCAUUGAGGCAGUCAAAGUAGGCAAAUCCGCUUUGAUAAUGCUGGGAUGUGAUGGGGAGCGAAAUUUAGUAGCGAAGUAGCUGAUUUCACACUGUCAAGAAAAGUCUCUAUCGAGGUUAAAGGUACCCGUACCGCAAACCGACACAGGUGGGUGAGGAGAGUAUCCUAAGGCCAGCGAGAGAACUGUUGUUAAGGAACUCGGCAAAAUGACCCCGUAACUUAGGGAUAAGGGGUGCCACCAUCAGGUGGCCGCAGAGAAUAGGCCCAAGCGACUGUUUACCAAAAACAUAGGUUUCUGCUAAGUCGCAAGACGAUGUAUAGGAGCUGACGCCUGCCCGGUGCUGGAAGGUUAAGGGGAUCUGUUAGAGCAAUCGAAGCAGUGAACUUAAGCCCCAGUAAACGGCGGCCGUAACUAUAACGGUCCUAAGGUAGCGAAAUUCCUUGUCGGGUAAGUUCCGACCCGCACGAAAGGCGUAACGAUUUGGGCACUGUCUCAACAACAGACUCGGUGAAAUUGUAAUUCCGGUGAAGAUGCCGGAUACCUGCGACAGGACGGAAAGACCCCAUGGAGCUUUACUGUAGCUUGACAUUGGGUCUUGGUACUACAUGUACAGGAUAGGUGGGAGGCUUUGAAACCAGGACGCCAGUUUUGGCGGAGCCAUCCUUGGGAUACCACCCUUGUAGUACUGGGACUCUAACCAUAGGCCAUGAAUCUGGUCUUGGGACACUGUCAGGUGGGCAGUUUGACUGGGGCGGUCGCCUCCCAAAAGGUAACGGAGGCGCUCAAAGGUUCUCUCAGUACGGUCGGAAAUCGUACGUAGAGUGUAAAGGCAAAAGAGAGCUUGAUUGCAAGACAUACAGGUCGAGCAAGGAUGAAAAUCGGACUUAGUGAUCCGGUGGUUCUGCGUGGAAGGGCCAUCGCUCAACGGAUAAAAGCUACCCUGGGGAUAACAGGCUUAUCUCCCCCAAGAGUCCACAUCGACGGGGAGGUUUGGCACCUCGAUGUCGGCUCAUCACAUCCUGGGGCUGUAGUAGGUCCCAAGGGUUGGGCUGUUCGCCCAUUAAAGUGGUACGCGAGCUGGGUUCAGAACGUCGUGAGACAGUUCGGUCCCUAUCCGUCGCAGGCGUAGGAAAUUUGAGAAGACCUGUCCUUAGUACGAGAGGACCGGGAUGGACGUACCUCUGGUGUACCAGUUGUCCUGCCAAGGGCAUGGCUGGGUAGCUAUGUA